AACCAUUCUCACCUGCGGCUAGACCUGCGGAGGGAUCAUUACCGAGUUUACAACUCCCAAACCCCUGUGAACAUACCUAUACGUUGCCUCGGCGGAUCAGCCCGCGCCCUGUAAAAAGGGACGGCCCGCCCGAGGACCCUAAACUCUGUUUUUAGUGGAACUUCUGAGUAAAACAAACAAAUAAAUCAAAACUUUCAGCAACGGAUCU
rnacentral:misc_RNA from 1 species